GUGUUCAUUGCCUAAUCGACAUGGCAUCUGCCCGGUAAGCGGAACACUGUGGGUUCGAUUCCCAUCCCUGGACACU